AUGCAACGUUCAUUUUAUAGAAGAAGAAACAAAGACAAGACAAAUAAUAAGGGUGCAAGAUCGUUCAACAUGCAAAAGUUUGUACGAUCUGUGGCAAUGAUCACAUAUUAAAGCCAUUCAGAAAAAAAACAUUAUCCCCUCCCAGAGACGAUAAAUGAAAAAAAAUUAUAAAUGUUAUUACAGAUCUGGUUACCCGAAUAUAUGAUCUCGCCCAAGGAUUUCUGAACUCAGUGUCAUCCAAUUUCCGAAUCUCAUAUUUCAUGUCAUCGUAAUUAGUGUAAUCAACAAGGCCAAAAGUC
rnacentral:lncRNA from 1 species